rnacentral:pre_miRNA from 1 species
CUGCUCCUGGGAGCUGGUUUCACGUGGUGGCUUAGACUGUGAUGUGCCUUCUCUAGCACCAUAUGAAAUCGGUGUCCCUGGAGUUG